CGCAGCACUGUCCUGGCUCCUCCUGUCCCUCACCCACCGUGGUGUCCUGAGAGCUCCUGGACUUCCUGCCUUGCCAGCUUCAUAUCACCCCAAGCUUUGGGGAAACCUGAGCUCAUUCUUUACAUCCUCGCCUGGUCAUACGCUUCCUUCCCCUCCUGCUUCUGACUUUUCUGCCCUUUGUCUCAUUCCUUUCCCUCCCUUGCCAGCCCUCAGGUUGUUCUGUAACUACGAUGACAGCAUUUCUUCUAGAAUCCUCCUCAACCUCUUGUUUGCACAGAAGAAAGCGCACCCCAUGACAUUGUCCUCCUCUGUUCAUGGCCCUCUCAUCACUGAUCCUUGGAGAAAUACAAAUCCAACCACAAAAAGAAAUCCUGUCACUCCCAAAAGGAUGGCUGCAGGCAAAAAUACCCAAGUGUUGGCAAGAAGGUCCUGGUGCAUCUGGAGAUCCUGGUGCAUUGCGGGUGAAGACACAUUUCUGACAUCAGAUGAAGAUGGAAAAUGAGCCACACCAAGGAUACCGGGAAGGAGGGGUUCGUGGGAUAGUUUAUUUGAGAGAGAGAAGUCACUUACAUGAGAAGCCAAGAACCAGGGUCAGCACUCUCUAACCUCCGACCACGAUCACAGCCCCAAGAGAGCGUGACACCCUCUUUCCUUGCCAUUAUCCCUGCCUCUCUCCACAUACCUAAACAGGCGUGGUCAGUGCUGCGGGUACGUGAGAUCUCUACCUACACCACAGGUGAGUGUGGUCCUCACCCAUCAUCAAGAAACUUCUCUUUGCAAUGUACACAGACCAUUACAGAGAACCACAAGGGAUCAAAACGCAGCAUUAUGGAGCCCAGUCCCAACUGGCACAUCUGCAACACAGCUCCUGCACCUACAGCUCAGGGAUCAUUGUGGGAGAGGGGUCAGAAAGACUGUAAGAGCCAGAGGAGCGACACGUUUCCUGUGAGAGUCUGUGUCCUAAAAAUGUCAGGAGCUACACCCAGGACGACUCAGGAGCAUGGUUACCAGGCAUGGGCUAAAAAGGAAGACAACCAACGCGCAUGUUAACAUGGACAGGGGAAAGUUCAUGAGGUCUCAGCCCUAAACAGAGACUUACAGGCAAUGAAGAAACGCUGAGAGCUGGAGAAAUAGCCUUCCCCACGGAGGAGCACACUGAUUGGCUAUCCAUACCAAAUGGUCAGCUCUGAAAACUUGUACAGACAAGUAACACGCGGACUGAGCAGGCUGUAUUUAUAGUUAUUUAUAAAUAUACAUACAUAAUAUCUACA